CCUCCCUGUUCAAAUUUAUAAUUAUUGUCAGCUAACCCAUUAUCGCUUAUGGUCCUUUAUAUAGGAUCAGGAAGAUAAUCCAUCAUAUUUCUGCAACACCUGUACUUUUCUGAGAUAUCUUUAGUUAAUCAUCGAGACUGGAAUGUCUUUCAAAUAUUACACCUACUGUCUGAUGUAUAUUCGCAACACUGAUACCUCAGUUUUCAGUACAGUGUGAAGAUCUUUAGGUAAAGGAUACAUUCAGUUUCGUGUAAUAUCAGACAGAAAUUUUUCAUUUUUAUUUUCAGAUACUCUCCCAUGGCUUUCUACCAUUCAGUCAAGUCAUUCUAUUCAGUUCAUGAUGCAGUAAAUUAAGCAGAAGAAAAUGAGUCUCCUUGUGAUGAAAACUUGGUGCUAGUAUAGUAUGUGGUCUACCACGGUGUCAAACUGUAUAGUCAGGGUUAUCACCUUUCCACUUGCGGUUUAUCUUACAUUGAAAUGUUACUAAAAGAUUUUUAUACACGUCAUCUUUACAGAGGAAACAGCAGUCACAUUUUUACAAGAUUACAAUCUACUGGAUACACAAGAAGCAGAUCCAUGCCGUCGAUGCGGUGCUGUCAUGCAGGAAAGACAAAAACGUGACAGAGGUAGACAAUUCAGGCCUGUACUUCGUUGUCCUCGAAAGGGGUGUCAAACUUCACGUUCAGUUCAUAAAGGAAACCAAUUUUUCCAUUAUUUGGACAUUAACAACAAAUUAAGCUGCAAGCUGAGUCUGAGUGAGAUUCUAGAACUGAUAUGUAUUUUUUGUCAUGGAUAAACCCAUAACCACAGCAGUGACUCUAACAGGAAAAUCUAAGAAUGCAAUAACUGACUGGUACAAUAUGUGCCACAAGGUGUGUGGAGCCAUAGUUUAUCAUGAACGACGAGGGAAGAUCGUUGGAACAAACGAUAACCUAACCCCAUUCAGAUUGACGAAGCAAGAUUUGCUGGUCGACGAAAAUACAAUCAAGCAAGAAUGCUGAAUGGUGACAACACUCCUCUCUUCAAAGACAGUGAUGCAGAACAACGAAACAACAGGAACCAUGGAUGUAGAAUUGACAGACCGUGUGUUUUUGGUCCCAAACAAGGCUCAGACUGUCGAUACUUUUGUGUGGAAUGGCAUGAUCCCAGUUAUUGAGAAAGAAUGUGAAAAAAGUUCAGUAAUUCAUUCAGAUGAGUGGCCCGCUUAUUGAUAUGGUUGAAAUUCCUACAGAUGUCCCCUGAAGGAUGACAAAUCCCAGAAAAAGGAAAAUCGUGGAUCCUAUGACUACAACUUCGAAGAAAAAGAAGAAUUCUGUUUGAAAUGGCAUGACAACAAUGUUUUCACAAUUGCAAGCAAUCAUCAGUCUGCCACCCCUGUUGGAAAUGCUAAAAGAUGGUCAACCACAUAGAAAGGAAAUAUAUGUUCCUCAGCUAUUUCUCAUAUCUGAGUAUAACGAAUAUAUGGUAGGUGUGGACCACUUAGACUGGCUUAUCCAAAAGUAUCGCAUCUCUGUUACAUCUAAGAAGUGGUACUUUAGUCUAUUCACAAAUUUCCUUGAUGCUAUGAUGGUUAAUUCCUGGGUUGUACAUUGUUUUGCAAAUGAAAAUACUUUGACAUUACUAGAUUUCAAGAGGUCAGUUACACAAGCUUAUUUGGAGUUAUCCUCAGAUUCUGAUCCCAAAAAUUUGGUAUGGCCGAAGGUAUUUUCUUCAAAAGUAAUACCAGAAAUUAGAUUUUCUACUACUGAACAUAUUCUUGAUAGGAAAGAAAGAAAAUGUGCCCUUUGCAGAAAAAAAAAAGUUUCAAAACAAUGUGUAAAAUGUAAUGUUGGUCUUCAUAUGGGUUAAUGUUUCAACAAAUGGCAUUCGAAUUAAUGUGUAUUUAGAUUGUUCAGAAAAACAAUUCUUUUUGAUUCUUUUUUUUUUUCAAGUAAUAUGCAUUUUAUUUGAAUUAAUAAGUAAAUAAAAGAGUGUUUUUUUAAAA